GGUUGUGGCUCAGAGGUAGAAUGCUCGCCUAGCAUAUGUGAGGCACUGGGUUCAAUCCUCAGCACCA
rnacentral:tRNA from 1 species